AAUAGAAGUAAAACAGAAACCUCAACUUGUGUAGCAUUCUUUCAAAAGUUCCGGGUUGGUUCAAUAUCAACAUAAAGACUUGGGAAGCAAGAGCAAGCAACAGCAAGAGAAAAAAACUGAACUUUUCUCUAUUGAUGAAACUCUUUCUGAAUUGUUUUAUAACAUUUUGUUUUUGACAUCAGGGCCGCAACAGUUUUCUCUGAGCCCAACGUCUAACUGUAAUCUCAAAAAUCUGUUUAAUCUCAAAACCAACCCAUCCUGUUUCUGACACAAUGAACAGCUACAGACCGUGACACUGCUGAAAUUCAGUUUUAUUUUAUUCAUGUGAGCCACUCUGGAUGUGGAAGAUGCUUGGUUUUAAAUAGUCGGUCCAACAACAAUCAAAUCAAACAAUUCAUAUUGUGACAUAUUUAUGACUCCCUUAUCUUCUAUUUUUAUUCAAUGCUUUCCAAAACUGUUAUAAAUUACUGUCACAAAAAUGUUUAAACUGAUCAUUUUCUGAUCCACCACCGACAGGCACAGAACAACUGGAUUAGAGUUUAUCUCCAUGUUUGAAAGAAACCAAUGUUUUGUCUCCUGUGUGUCAAAGUCUGACUCUUUGUGGACCCCUCCAUCCACCCUGGUGGGCUUUGAGGCUUUAUAAUGUCCCAUUGCUGCUGUGUCUAAUCAAUAAAAGGUAUUCAGCUCAAUGUGAGGAAACACACACAAGAAGACGAAUGGUUUCUCACCUGCCGGAGGAGGAGAAUCUGCUGCUGCUGACAGGACCUUCGAUCAGGGUAGCUUAUUCCCAGUAAGGAUUGUUUUUAAAGUGAAGAAAGAGAAGGGAAAACCCUGCUGGCUUUACAACGAAUGCUACUGGUUGGAUCUGUAGUAACUGCCAGGGGCAAAACAUUCUAUAGUGGGUGACCACAGGCUGUGUGAUUGGUCCAAAGCCAACCAAUAGCAGGAGCUAGACAGAGACAGACAAAGUGAACCCGCCCUCCAUAAGGUUUCCUGUUGCAUGUGUUUAAGAAAAAGGUGUGAUAUAAUAAUUCCUCUCUUGUUUUUUAUAUUUCGUAUUAUGAAUCUGAAUUAACACAGUAACUAAAGUUAUACAAUAAAUGUUUUACUGCUU